rnacentral:lncRNA from 1 species
AAACAUACCGAACAGAAUUGAAUGGGCUAAAAUCUUUGAUAUUUAACUUUAAAUUAGAAAGGGAUUUCAGUCCCUUCGAUCUGCUUUGGUAUUUUUGCUCUUAAACAAGAAUCUACAUCGUAUAAGCUAGGACCACACUUUCAUCUUAUCUCCGGCCACCCGUGACUCUUCGAUCCAUCCUUCCCGUCACGGAUACUUGCGUUGGGAAAACAAAAACAAUGCCAGGUAAUUAAGUUUACAGCGGCCAUUAAAUGGAAACCUUGCAAACGGAGAGGCUUCCUUGUCUUGGUGAGGGAGGCUCCGAUGAUGAAGAUUUUUGGAUGGAGGGAGUAUAAUCUAGUUUAAAUAUAUAUAAACAAC